rnacentral:misc_RNA from 1 species
GAUCAUUAACGCGCAGGCCGGAGGCUGGCCCCCCACGAUAGGGCCAAACGUCCGUCAGGGGUGAGCAGAUGUGCGCCGGCCGUACCGCCCCAUUCUUGUCUACCUUACUCGGUUGCCUCGGCGGGCCGCGCUCUCCCAGGAGAGCCGUUCGGCGAGCCUCUCUUUAGUGGCUAAACGCUGGACCGCGCCCGCCGGAGGACAGACGCAAAAAAAUUCUUUCAGAAGAGCUGUCAGUCUGAGCGUUAGCAAGCAAAAAUCAGUUAAAACUUUCAACAACGGAUCUCUUGGUUCCGGCAUCGAUGAAGAACGCAGCGAAAUGCGAUAAGUAAUGUGAAUUGCAGAAUUCCGUGAAUCAUCGAAUCUUUGAACGCACAUUGCGCCCCCUGGCAUUCCGGGGGGCAUGCCUGUUCGAGCGUCAUUUCAGCCCCUCAAGCCCGGCUUGUGUGAUGGACGACCGUCCGGCGCCCCCGUCUUUGGGGGUGCGGGACGCGCCCGAAAAGCAGUGGCCAGGCCGCGAUUCCGGCUUCCUAGGCGAAUGGGCAACAAACCAGCGCCUCCAGGACCGGCCGCCCUGGCCUCAAAAUCUGUUUUAUACUUAUCAGGUUGACCUCGGAUCAGGUAG